GGAUACAUCAAUGACUUUAUAGAAGAAGAGAAAUAGGAGGCAUAUUGUAACUCUGAUUCACAGUUUCAGAACAACAACAUCAAUGAAUAAAGAGACCGUGCUCUAGAGUUCAACUUCAGCCAAGUUGCAAGGACAAGAGACUUAGAUCUCAGAGCUCAGAUGCUUCUUCUGCUCCUCAUGUUUGAACAGCAGCUGAGCCAUGUAGGAGAAAGCACUCCCAGAAAAAGGAGCUCCAGGCAGAGACUGCUGCAACACAGUUCUUGAACAUCCAUUGACAUUAACCUUGACAUGGCUCAAAUGAUAAUGAAACUGGUCUCGGGUGCAUCUUUACAUACUCUCUGUUAUCAUCCCAGGGUAAAUAAUGUGAGCCCAGUAUGAUGAUGUAAUUGAAGUACUCUUCAAUAUUCACCAUUUGUACAGCUGUCGUGGCUUAACCCCUGCUGGCAACUCAGCAUUACUCAGCAAUCCACUCAGUCUCCCCUCCCACAUGGAAUGGGGAGGAGAAUUACAAAAAGGUAAAACCUGCGGGUAGAGAUGAGAACAGUUUGAUAAUUCAAACAAGGUGAAAUAUAAUAAUAAUAAUAAACUAUAACGAGAAGGAGAGAGAAGAAUAAGACCCAAGGAAAAAGGUGAUGGAGGAUAGAAUUAUUCAAUACCUGCUGGCUUGUGCCAAGCCCAUCCCUGAGCAGGGAUUGGCAGAUCCCAGCUAACUCCCCUCAAUUUAUAUACUGAGCAUGACAGUUUAUUUCAUGGAAUAUCUGCUUGGCUAGUUUGAGUCAACUAUUCUGGCUAUGCUCCUUCCUGGCUUCUUGUGCACCUGCUUGCUGUCAGAGUAUGAGAGUCUGAAAAGUCCUUGAUUUAGAGAAAACACUACUGAGCAAAAACCAAAACAUCACUAUGUUGUCAACAUUACUCUCACACUAAAUCAAAAACACAGCUCUGUACCAGUUACAUGAAAGAAAAUUAACUCUGUCCCAG